GUGAAAGGAAAUGAGAAAGAAAUCAAUCAGUGGUGGGGUUGGGUUUAAGCCUACAGUUUAUUGGGACUUGUCAGUCUUUCUGUAGAGGGAGGAGUCUGAUGCUGGGGAUUGCUGUUCUUUGGGAGUUCUAUAUUUUAUGUCUUCACUCUGUCUAAGUUUGUUGUGGAAUUAGUUUCUUCAUUUCCCAGCUGCAUCUAACUUUUGUUUUCAAUGUAAACACUUAGCCUAAUGUAUCAGGAAUGAAUUUUCCUUAGACAUGGUGCAUAGUAGAAACUGUGCUGGGUUCUAGAAAAUUCUUUUCUGGUCUCUAAAGCCUUUAGGUCUGGCCCUUAGUAGGAUCCCAUCUGUUUUCAGGUGAGAGUAGAAGUGUCAGCACCUGUAGGUAGAAAAGAAACUACAGAAGGAGGAGGAAGAGGAGGAGAAGGAGGAGGAGACAUAUUUUCCAGGGCCCAAUGGAUUAUUGAUCAUAAGAUGGAAACCUCAACUUGGCAUGGCUAAAGCCCUCGAUUUUCUUCAUGGUCAUGUUCUUAAUGUUGAACAAAAAUUCAAGAUCGGUACAUGGGGAAUAAGAUGAAGCCAAGACACACGGAAGAAAUCUUGAUUCAUUUUUUUUAACUGAAGAUACUCUUGUGCAUUUAUGGACUCAUUUUUAAUAAAAAAGGAAACAAAACAAUCAUGGUGUUGUUAGUGUUAAAAGACAGUAUAUAAUCUAAAGGCCAGAUUCAACUCUCCCUUCUUCUAGCUGAGGGAAAAUCCUCCUUCAAAACAGAAUAAUUAGAAGGAAAAAAAAAGAACUUUGAUAAAUUAAAGAACCAUCUACCAGUUAAACUGACACUCCAUAUGCAGAGGGCCCAAUUUCCAUGCGUGUUAUAAAAAAUGUGUUAAAUCAACUAACAUUGAUAUAACUUCAAGCAAUUAGGAGCAUGCUAAUAACGAUAUGAGUCUUCAGCUGUAAAUAAUUGUGCUGCCCCAAGGCUAUGCUUUAAUUCUUGGCUUGCUGUAUCUAUAAACAAUAAUCACACUGCAAA